CUACAAACACACGGCAAACGGCAGCAGCUCUCCUCAGAGUCCUGGUCUGCUCUCGGAGGUCAUCUCCUGUUGUUGUUGUUGUUGUUGGUCUUGUGCAGGUACCUG